UACGAGGGGGGCAAAUGUUGUUCGGAAUCACUGGGCGUAAAGGGAGCGUAGGCGGGUUUCUAAGUCAGGUGUUUAAUCCCGGGGCCCAACCCCGGACAGGCACUUGAAACUGGGAAUCUUGAAUAGUGGAGAGGUCAGUGGAAUUGGGGGUGUAGCGGUGGAAUGCGUAGAGAUCCCCAAGAACACCAGUUGCGAAGGCGGCUGACUGGACACAUAUUGACGCUGAGGCUCGAAAGCAUGGGAGCAAACAGGG
rnacentral:rRNA from 1 species